UCCGGAAGGCAGCAGUGGGGAAUAUUGCACAAUGGGCGAAAGCCUGAUGCAGCUAUGCCGCGUGUAUGAAGAAGGCCUUAGGGUUGUAAAGUACUUUCAUCGGGGAGGAAAAAACAAAACUAAUAAUUUUAUUUCUUGACGUUACCCGAAAAAGAAGCACCGGCUAACUCCGUGCCAGCAGCCGCGGUAAUACGGAGGGUGCUAGCGUUAAUCAGAAUUACUGGGCGUAAAGAGCACGUAGGUGGUUUUUUUAAGUCAGAUGUGAAAUCCCUGGGCUUAACCUGGAACUGCAUUUUGAAACUGAAAUACUAGAGUAUCGUAGAGGGAGGUAGAAUUCUAGGUGUAGCGGUGAAAUGCGUAGAUAUCUGGAGGAAUACCUGUGGCGAAAGCGGCCUCCUAAACGAAUACUGACACUGAGGUGCGAAAGCGUGGGGAGCAAACAGGGAUUAGAUACC
rnacentral:rRNA from 1 species